GACGAACCGUGCAAACGUUGUUCGGAAUCACUGGGCUUAAAGGGCGCGUAGGCGGCUUGCCAAGUCGGGGGUGAAAUCCAGCAGCUUAACUGUUGAAGUGCCUUCGAUACUGGCGAGCUCGAGAAAGGUAGGGGUGUGUGGAACUUCUGGUGGAGCGGUGAAAUGCGUUGAUAUCAGAAGGAACGCCGGUGGCGAAAGCGACGCACUGGACCUUUUCUGACGCUGAGGCGCGAAAGCUAGGGUAGCGAACGGG
rnacentral:rRNA from 1 species